UCUCCGUAGGUGAACCUGCGGAGGGAUCAUUACAGAGUUUUUGCCCGCAAGGAUAGAUCUCCCACCCUAUGUUAUUCCUUCUCUGUGGCUUGGGCGGGCCGCCCGGCCUCUGUCAGGCCACCGUCCCCGGAUGGCGGGGGCCCGCCAGAGGACGACACACCCUAAGUGUCAGUGUCGUCUGAGUACUAUACACUAGUUAAAACUUUCAACAACGGAUCUCUUGGUUCUG
rnacentral:misc_RNA from 1 species